rnacentral:rRNA from 1 species
GACGAACCGUGCGAACGUUGUUCGGAAUCACUGGGCUUAAAGGGCGCGUAGGCGGUCUCCCAAGUCCGGGGUGAAAUCUUUCGGCCUAACCGGAAAAGGGCCUUGGAUACUGGGGGACUCGAGGGGGGUAGGGGCAAGCGGAACUUCCGGUGGAGCGGUGAAAUGCGUUGAUAUCGGAAGGAACGCCGGCGGCGAAAGCGGCUUGCUGGACCCCAUCUGACGCUGAGGCGCGAAAGCCAGGGGAGCGAACGGGG